AUGAAAGAGCUGGGCGAAGUUCCCCAGCUCGGGAUUAGCUCAAAGGUGUUCCUGAACAACGUAGAGAAACCGAGAGGAGUAUAUCUCUGCUGGCAGGAGCCCCAGCGUUUCGGAUGCGUCAAGGUAGACACCACGAUCGGAAUCCCGCAGUAUCUGAAGUUUACUGCAGUCACCGAAGUAAAGGCACUGUCGAAGUACCUGUUCGCGGCUUCAAAUAGUUCGAUCUUAUUCUGGGCUCCGGAGAAGUAAGUCCGCUCAGAGACAGGCAGUUCCCAGACACCUCCUUCCGUGUUCAUUGAUCUCACAAAAGACGCCAAAAUCAUUGCAUUCACUUUCGACAACGGGCGAUUCCUCCUGCUGUGGACAGCUGAUCUCCAGAGGAAAGUUUUCGUCACCCUCACCAAUAAGAAAGCUCAAAUACUAGCUCAGCGAGAGAUUCCUCUCACUGCUGUCUACAAUCUGGAUUUCUUGGAACUCGCCGAAGCCCCCUUCACUAUCGAAGCGCUGCCCGGCAGAACGUGGGUCAGCCUCUCGGACGGCUCUCUGUGGACCGCGGUUCUGGAACAUGACACUCUGGGGGAAUUUGUAAAAGUUGCUGACUUGCAUUCCCCUGCGAUUUGGACUGGUCUGAUAGCUGAUACACUGCACAUCAUAAGCUGUCUAGGACGGUUCUAUGCUGUCUCGAGUGCGCUGCAAAUCCAGGAGCAAUCUUGUGUGGCACCAGUGCUCCGGGUCUUCUCGAUUGGGAAAUCGGCCUACAUUGCGACCCCGUCGGAGGGCUUCGUGCUGCGAUUCGAUGGUAUCGAGGAUCUAAUUUGUGUUUUCAAUUCGGGACGGAUAUGUUCGAUGACAUCGGAAGAGUUUGCCCAAAGCCCAUCCGCGGAGAGCACCGAUGGCGAGAGCGAUCCGUGGGAGAAAAUACAAAAACUGGCGGAUCUGAAAGAAAGUCGAGCAUCAGACCAGCUCUCGGUCAUGGACUCGGCUCAGCGACAGAUGGCUCUAUUGAUGUAUCUCAAGUUCCAUGCCGUCGAGGUUACUUGCGAGGUCACCCAACAUUCUCAUCCAUCUUUCAUCGAAGAUCAAAUCAUAAGCUGCGACCUAGCGUCCGGAGAAAUUUUCGAUUCAACGAUGUGGAUGGCCACUGUGAUCCUGAGGCCGCACGGGAGAGACGUAGCCAUGACUAAGAGCGCAGCGUUCCAUUAUCGAGGUACCCGCGUCAGCCUCCAAAUCGAGAGUCCGAAAUCCCUGCUCCUGUCACUACGGGUGUUCCUGUCGCUCAAGAGUCGCUUCUUCCCGCGCAUUCUGUCGCUGUUGAUUCACGAACAAGAUAUAUGUCCGCUGGUUUGCUUCUCCGACAUUCCUCAUCCUGGAUUUCUGGUACAUCGACCGUCAGUCGAGUGCUGCAUCACCAAAGACCUUCAAACGGUAUUGCGAGCAAUCGUGGCCGGUGGAGGGCCUUGCAUCGCAUCGGACCUCGGAAACUCGAAGCUUGUUCGAAUCGUUUGGGAAAAAGCUAGUAGGAAACAAACGCUAUCACUGAGAGCGAUCUUCUUGAAAAUAUUGCUCAGGAAAACCUUCUCGUUAGAGCCGAAAAUUCUAGUUCCCAAGUCGAUGGACGAGACCGUGAAGAUUUCGAAGCAGCGCAUCCGCAAAUGUGAUUCAAUGAAAGCCCUGCUGGCUCUCUAUGAGCAGUGGAGAACUUUCUCAAUGAAGCUGCCUCUUUUGUGA